GGCCAGCAUCAGUUUGGAUGAUGGGAUAAUGCCUUUGGAAUGUGAUUCUGCUUCGCUGGAGUGUUAUAGCCAUUGUUGAUACCGUCUAUCUAGACCUGCNGGCUGCGUCUUUGACCACGGAUCUUGGCAUCAU
rnacentral:rRNA from 1 species